CUUUUCUGUGGAUGCUAUGUUUUUCUAGCAUCCGAAUGAGAGCAGAAUUCUUCUUCCAAAAUUCUCUCUUACAGAAAAUGAAGAGACAAACCAGAGGAUAAAAAAUAGCAACCGAAUGAGAGCAUAAUUCUUCUUCCAGAGUCCAUGGUGGCAAAUAUAUUGGAUGGAAGUAAUGUGGGGAUUAGUAGCAUUUUAAAGGAAGAGAAAUGUAUCAUUUUUUCACUUAGCUUACAUAAAUUGUAUGGAAGAUUGUUGGUUGUUAUUUAUUUUUUGAAUGUUGAAAUCUAUUUUUAAUCCAUUGAAGAUAUUGCCAUUUAUUAAUUUUGGCAUGAAUUGUGACA